CAACAACGAAAGGAGGUGAUCUAGUGUCUCAUUGUCAUACCCUACGUUCCCCGGUUGCCGCGACCUGGAUCUUGGCCUCUGCUGAGAUUUGUGCGUAACGCACCUUUAAGGGCGGCUCUUCGGGGCCGUGGAACCGACAAUGGAAAGGCCGCCCCUCGGGGCGGCCUU
rnacentral:sRNA from 1 species